rnacentral:rRNA from 1 species
GAUCAUGGCUCAGGAUGAACGCUAGCUACAGGCUUAACACAUGCAAGUCGAGGGGCANCAUGGUCUUAGCUUGCUAAGGCCGAUGGCGACCGGCGCACGGGUGAGUAACACGUAUCCAACCUGCCGUCUACUCUUGGACAGCCUUCUGAAAGGAAGAUUAAUACAAGAUGGCAUCAUGAGUCCGCAUGUUCACAUGAUUAAAGGUAUCCUGGUAGACGAUGGGG